UACGGAGGGGGCUAGCGUUGUUCGGAAUUACUGGGCGUAAAGCGCACGUAGGCGGAUACUUAAGUCAGGGGUGAAAUCCCGGGGCUCAACCCCGGAACUGCCUUUGAUACUGGGUAUCUCGAGUCCGGAAGAGGUGAGUGGAAUUCCGAGUGUAGAGGUGAAAUUCGUAGAUAUUCGGAGGAACACCAGUGGCGAAGGCGAGUCCCUGGACAACACCUGACACUGAGGCACGAAAGCCGGGGGAGCAAACAGG
rnacentral:rRNA from 1 species